AUCAACGUUUCCUUGGCAACCGCGACUGCGACGGUUAAGCUGUCUGAAAAGGUCUCGGCCGGGAAAUUCGGAAACGUAGUCACAGACCAGCCAAGUUACUCUGUGUAAGAACUGCACUCCAACUUCUCACCCCCUGCUAAGAAUCUGAAUAAGUCUUGCCUCUGGAGCCCAUCACUGAAUUGGGAUCCUCUUCUACCUAAGGCAGUAUCUGGGAAAGUCCAGUAGAGAAUUGAUUGUCCAGCACUAAAUAGCAGCUGCAAAGAAGCUGACUGUGAGACCAAGUAAGCUGAUUGAGGCCAAUUCCAAUGAUUUUGGGAUGAAGAGAGCCAUCUACUCCUGGAAAGAGAACUGUGGAAACUGAGCAUGGAUCACAACAUAGCAUUUCCACUCUUUUUGUUGUUGUUUGUUUGCAUUUUGUUUUCUUUCUCAUUUUUUUCCUUUUUGAUCUGAUUUUUCUUGUGUAGCACGAUAAUUGUAGAAAUAUGUAUAGAAAAUUGUACAUGUUUAACAUAUAUUGAUUACUUGCCAUCUAGGGGAGAGGAUGGGGGAAAAGGGGGUGGUAAAUUUGGAACACAAGUUUUUGCAAGGGUCAAUGUUAAA